UACGUAGGGGGCAAGCGUUGUCCGGAUUCAUUGGGCGUAAAGAGCGUGUAGGCGGCCAGGUAGGUCGGUUGUGAAAACUGGAGGCUCAACCUUCAGAGGUCGACCGAAACCAUCUGGCUAGAGUCCGGGAGAGGAGAGUGGAAUUCCGAGUGUAGAGGUGAAAUUCGUAGAUAUUCGGAAGAACACCAGUGGCGAAGGCGGCUCACUGGACUGGUAUUGACGCUGAGGUGCGAAAGCGUGGGGAGCAAACAGGG
rnacentral:rRNA from 1 species